AAAAGUGGAAUAAAAGACAAAUAUAAAUAGUAGCAUAAAAUAAUAUCAAAGACAUUAUAAUAAAACAUAAAAAAAAACAUAUGAGAUGAGAGGUUAGAGAAGAUGAAAAAAAGAACAUAAGAGAUGCGAGAUUGAGAAGAAAAUUGCAAUAAAAACGUAAUUGGAAGAGAAAAUAGUAACAUAAAAAAUUAAAAAAAAGAACAUAAUAGAGGACUUAUUAUAGUAGAAUAGGCGAGACCUACAUGGAAAAGAAGAUGAGAAGAAUGUGUGAUACUACUAUGAGAGAUUUAAGAAGGUUGAAAUUG
rnacentral:lncRNA from 1 species